rnacentral:rRNA from 1 species
AUGGGGGACGACGGGGCGGAAGGGGAGGCGCCGCGCUGCGUCGGCUGCGGCCGGCGCGUGAGGACGCUCUUCGUGCAGUACUCCGCAGGCAACAUCCGUUUGAUGAAAUGCGAUGUCUGCAAGGCUGUCGCCGAUCCCUACAUCGAGUGUGAAUUCAUGAUUAUCUUGAUCGAUCUGAUUCUACACAAGACCAGGGCAUACCGACAUCUACUGUUCAAUAAGCUGCACAUUGGUUCAUCUAUUGACAAGGGAAUACUGUGCCAGUUCAUUCUGAUGCAUAUCGUUCUUGACGCUUUCAGAAUAUCAGUUUCAAAAAGCAACAAAGUUGAUGGGGAUUCUUCCUGGAGCACAUUGUCCACAAUUUGCAAUUGCAGCGAGGUUCUGGGUGAUGCAUUGUUAGGGAACAUCAUAUUUACGGCCAUGUUACUCCUGGGAGUACGAUAUAUCCUCAAAUUUUCUUUUGACAUUACAAGGUAUCGAGAGAUUCUGUUAGCCGUCAUCAUUUCAAGCUAUUUCAAGUUAUUUCUUCUGACAAUGAUGGUUUGGGAGUUCCCAUCAUCUGCUAUAUUCAUUGUCGAAACAUUUGUUCUCUCAUCAAAUGUUGUAGCCCUGAGAGUGGUGACGCGGUUCCCAAAGGCCCACUGUGUUGGUGUCUGCUUCAUGGCGCACGCGGCAAAGCACUUGACGGAACGGUGGCUCAUGUGGACACCAUGA